AUCUAGCUGACGAGUCCCAAAUGGGACGAAACGCGCGUCAAACUGGAU
rnacentral:hammerhead_ribozyme from 1 species